CUACGGGGUGCACCAGUGGGGAAUAUUGCACAAUGGAGGAAACUCUGAUGCAGCAACGCCGCGUGGAGGAUGACACUUUUCGGAGCGUAAACUCCUUUUAUAUAGGAAGAAGAUGACGGUACUAAAUGAAUAAGCGCCGGCUAACUCCGUGCCAGCAGCCGCGGUAAUACGGAGGGCGCAAGCGUUACUCGGAAUCACUGGGCGUAAAGAGCGUGUAGGCGGAUUAAAAAGUCAGAAGUGAAAUCCUAUAGCUUAACUAUAGAACUGCCUCUGAAACUCUUAAUCUAGAAUAUGGGAGAGGUAGAUGGAAUUUCUGGUGUAGGGGUAAAAUCCGUAGAGAUCAGAGGGAAUACCGAUUGCGAAGGCGAUCUACUAGAGCAUUAUUGACGCUGAGACGCGAAAGCGUGGGGAGCAAACAGGAUUAGAUACCCGAGUAGUC
rnacentral:rRNA from 1 species